rnacentral:rRNA from 1 species
CCUACGGGAGGCAGCAGUGGGGAAUAUUGGGCAAUGGGCGCAAGCCUGACCCAGCAACGCCGCGUGAAGGAAGAAGGCUUUCGGGUUGUAAACUUCUUUUCUGCGGGACGAAGAAAGUGACGGUACCUCAGGAAUAAGCCACGGCUAACUACGUGCCAGCAGCCGCGGUAAUACGUAGGUGGCAAGCGUUAUCCGGAUUUAUUGGGUGUAAGGGGCGUGUAGGCGGGAAAGCAAGUCAGAUGUGAAAACGCAGGGCUCAACCCUGAGCCUGCGUUUGAAACUGUUUUUCUUGAGUGCUGGAGAGGCAAACGGAAUUGCGUGUGUGUCGGUGAAAUGCGUAGAUAUACGGCGGAACACCAGUGGCGAGGGCGCAUUGCUGGACAGUAACUGACGCUGAGGCGCGAAAGCGUGGGGAGCAAACAGGAUUAGAUACCCCUGUAGUC